rnacentral:rRNA from 1 species
AGAUGAGCCCGCGUACCAUUAGCUUGUUGGUGAGGUAACGGCUCACCAAGGCGACGAUGGUUAGCUGGUCUGAGAGGAUGAUCAGCCACACUGGAACUGACACACGGUCCAGACUCCUACGGGAGGCAGCAGUGAGGAAUUUUGCGCAAUGGGGGAAACCCUGACGCAGCAACGCCGCGUGAGUGAUGAAGGCCUUCGGGUCGUAAAGCUCUGUCGAGUGGGAAGAACUGGCUUUGAUUUAAUACAUCAAGGCCUUGACGGUACCACUAAAGGAAGCACCGGCUAACUCCGUGCCAGCAGCCGCGGUAAUACGGGGGGUGCAAGCGUUAUUCGGAUUUACUGGGCGUAAAGAGCGCGUAGGCGGUCUUUUAAGUCAGAUGUGAAAGCCCGGGGCUUAACCCUGGAAGUGCAUUUGAAACUGAAAGGCUUGAGUAUGGGAGAGGGAAGUGGAAUUCCUGGUGUAGAGGUGAAAUUCGUAGAUAUCAGGAGGAACACCGGUGGCGAAGGCGACUUCCUGGACCAAUACUGACGCUGAGGCGCGAAGGCGUGGGUAGCAAACAGGAUUAGAUACCCUGGUAGUCCACGCAGUAAACGGUGUACACUAGGUGUAGCGGGUAUUGACCCCCGCUGUGCCGCAGCUAACGCAUUAA